GAUGAACGCUGGCGGUGUGCCUAACACAUGCAAGUCGAGCGAAAACACAAUAAGAUCGUGCUCUUGCGGUUAGCGGGGGACGGGCGGGUAACAAAUGGGUCAGAUUCUACUUUGUCUGGAAUAAUAACGGGAAAAAAGGGACAAUAAUACCUAAUACGACGUACCGCAUGGAUCUAAAGUGCUACAUGCUUUUCCUAAUACAAUUAGCUGGUCUCGCGCCGGAUUAGCUAGUUGGUAAGGUAACGGCUUACCAAGGAAACGAUACGUAGCCGAUCUGAGAGGAUGAUCAGCCACACUGGAACUGAGACACGGUCCAGACUCCUACGGGAGGCAGCAGUGGGGAAUAUUGGACAAUGGGCGAAAGCCUGACGGAGCAACACCGCGUGGGUGAAGAAGGUCUUCGGGUCGUAAAGCUCUUUUGUUGGGAAAGAAAAGAAGCAGGAUAAUCUGCCGACGUUUUGACGGUACCUAAAGAGAAAGCCACGGCUAACUUCGUG
rnacentral:rRNA from 1 species